rnacentral:rRNA from 1 species
GCACAACGCGAAGAACCUUACCAAGGCUUGACAUAUACGAGAACGGGCCAGAAAUGGUCAACUCUUUGGACACUUGUAAACAGGUGGUGCAUGGUUGUCGUCAGCUCGUGUCGUGAGAUGUUGGGUUAAGUCCCGCAACGAGCGCAACCCUCGUUCUAUGUUGCCAGCACGUAAUGGUGGGAACUCAUGGGAUACUGCCGGGUCAACUCGGAGGAAGGUGGGGAUGACGUCAAAUCAUCAUGCCCCUUAUGUCUUGGGCUUCACGCAUGCUACAAUGGCCGGUACAAAGGGCUGCAAUACCGCGAGGUGGAGCGAUACCAAAAAGCCGGUCCCAGUUCGGAUUGAGGUCUGCAACUCGACCUCAUGAAGUCGGAGUCGCUAGUAAUCGCAGAUCAGCAACGCUGCGGUGAAUACGUUCCCGGGUCUUGUACACACCG